rnacentral:rRNA from 1 species
GAACAGACGAGGAGCUUGCUCCUCUGACGUUAGCGGCGGACGGGUGAGUAACACGUGGGUAACCUACCUAUAAGACUGGGAUAACUCCGGGAAACCGGGGCUAAUACCGGAUAACACAUGAAACCGCAUGGUUUCAUGAUGAAAGACGGUUUUGCUGUCACUUAUAGAUGGACCCGCGGCGUAUUAGCUAGUUGGUAAGGUAACGGCUUACCAAGGCAACGAUACGUAGCCGACCUGAGAGGGUGAUCGGCCACACUGGAACUGAGACACGGUCCAGACUCCUACGGGAGGCAGCAGUAGGGAAUCUUCCGCAAUGGGCGAAAGCCUGACGGAGCAACGCCGCGUGAGUGAUGAAGGUCUUCGGAUCGUAAAACUCUGUUAUUAGGGAAGAACAAGGAUGUAAGUAACUAUGCAUCCCUUGACGGUACCUAAUCAGAAAGCCACGGCUAACUACGUGCCAGCAGCCGCGGUAAUACGUAGGUGGCAAGCGUUAUCCGGAAUUAUUGGGCGUAAAGCGCGCGUAGGCGGUUUUUUAAGUCUGAUGUGAAAGCCCACGGCUCAACCGUGGAGGGUCAUUGGAAACUGGAAAACUUGAGUGCAGAAGAGGAAAGUGGAAUUCCAUGUGUAGCGGUGAAAUGCGCAGAGAUAUGGAGGAACACCAGUGGCGAAGGCGACUUUCUGGUCUGCAACUGACGCUGAUGUGCGAAAGCGUGGGGAUCAAACAGGAUUA